rnacentral:rRNA from 1 species
AUUGAACGCUGGCGGCAUGCCUAACACAUGCAAGUCGAACGGAAACGAAGCUAGCUUGCUAGCAGGCGUCGAGUGGCGGACGGGUGAGUAAUAUAUAGGGAUCUACCUAGUAGUGGGGGACAACAUGUGGAAACGCAUGCUAAUACCGCAUACGCUCUACGGAGGAAAGUGGGGGACCUUUCGGGGCCUCAUGCUAUUAGAUGAACCUAUAUCGGAUUAGCUUGUUGGUGAGGUAAUGGCUCACCAAGGCGACGAUCCGUAGCUGGUUUGAGAGAAUGAUCAGCCACACUGGGACUGAGACACGGCCCAGACUCCUACGGGAGGCAGCAGUGGGGAAUAUUGCACAAUGGACGAAAGUCUGAUGCAGCAAUGCCGCGUGUGUGAAGAAGGCCUUCGGGUUGUUAUGCAUUUUCAGAUGUGAGGAAAAGCAGUCUAUUAAUAGUAGGCUGCCGUGACGUUAACA